CAGGAGACAAGCUCGAGAACGCGGCCGCAGGGAAGAAGCUGGAAGCAGUAGAAGUAACAUUUGCAGAUUUUGAUGGGGUCCUCCAUCAUAUUUCAAAUCCUAAUGGAGACAAGACGAAAGUGAUGAUCAGUAUUUCUUUGAAAUUCUGCAAGGAACUUCAGGCACAUGGUGCUGAUGAGCUAUUAAAGAGGGUGUAGGGAGUCUCUCGGUAAGUCCGGAAUCAGGAUACAAUGUCUCUUUGCUACAAGACCUUGAAAAUUUGCCUGCAUCCAAGGAUUCCACUGUACAUCAGGCUGGCAUGUCGAAGCGAAAUUGUUUUGCCUCUGCCUCUGAGAAAUAUUUCCAAUUCCAAGAAGAAGGCAAGGAAGGAGAGAACAGGGCAGUGAUCCAUUGUAGGGGUGAGAGACCAGGUGUGUUGAGUCUAAAAGGACAGAGUCACGGCAGUCUGCAGCCCAGUGUUUAAGGCAGACGACGACGCUCAUGCAGGAGUUCAAAGAAGGACGCGGGGCCAGCCCCGCAGCCCCGCAGCCCCGCAGCCCCGCAGCCCCGCAGCCCCGCAGCCCCGCAGCCCCGCAGCCCCGCAGGGGACUUUUAGCCACAGGGAACCUCCUCUGGAGCCGAAAGACACAGGUGCCGCCCCGGGUGGCAACACUGGCUACAUCGCCUCGUGCUGCUCCCUGGCCACACCAGCGCCAGCGCCACAGACAGCGCCUGCAGCCGCACCGCGCGUUCGGGGCUGCCUGCACCCCGCACCCAGUGCCCCGAGGCCUGCGUUCGCGCACGCGUGCGGGCGAAAACUCGGACUUUCUCGGGGUGCCUAGCCGUGCACGUGCAGAGGCCGAGAAAAAAGUGAUGCAAACAAGCACGGGGAAGACGUUUUCAUCCCGCUGACUCCUGGGAAUAAGAGGAGGAAGCGGCUGGCAGCUGGAGGCUGGAACACUUGAUACUGGAUAAUCGUAGCUUUUAAUGUUGCCCCUCUUCAGGUUCCUAAGGGACUCUCCCUUUUGGUUCCAUUUUGUACACGUUUGGAAACUAAUCUGCAGAAACGAGCUGUGCUUGCAAGGACUUCAUAGUUCCCAAGAAUUAAAAAA